AAGACUGUUCUAGGGAUAAUUUCUGUAGUUCAGUCUCAGAGAAGAUUCUCUGACAGUGUGCAGCACUGGAAACUGCAAGAAGGAGGCACAGCAAUCUCUCCUGAGCGGGGAGCCUGCACUGAGUGCUGUUUUGUUGCGGCUGCUGUUUGCCACUGUCGAUCGUUCUCCUCUUUCAGGAGAGUAAGAAGGGAAGGAUGCAGUCUGAGUGGU
ensembl:snoRNA U3 Small nucleolar RNA U3